rnacentral:rRNA from 1 species
GUUAUAUGGUCAAGCGAAUAAGCGCACACGGUGGAUGCCUUGGCGGUCAGAGGCGAUGAAGGACGUGGCAGCCUGCGAAAAGUAUCGGGGAGCUGGCAACAAGCUUUGAUCCGGUAAUGUCCGAAUGGGGAAACCCACCCGCUUGCGGGUAUCCUGCAGUGAAUACAUAGCUGCUGGAAGCGAACCUGGUGAACUGAAAUAUCUAAGUAACCAGAGGAAAAGAAAUCAACCGAGAUUCCGUAAGUAGCGACGAGCGAACGCGGACUAGCCCUUAAGCUGAUUUGGUUCUAGGAAAACGCUCUGGAAAGAGCGGCCAUAGAAGGUGAUAGCCCUGUAUCUGAAAGGGCCAUUCCAGUGAAGACGAGUAGGGCGGGGCACGUGAAACCCUGUCUGAACAUGGGGGGACCAUCCUCCAAGGCUAAAUACUACUGACCGACCGAUAGUGAACCAGUACCGUGAGGGAAAGGCGAAAAGAACCCCGGAGAGGGGAGUGAAAUAGAACCUGAAACCGUGUGCGUACAAGCAGUAGGAGCUCCGCAAGGAGUGACUGCGUACCUUUUGUAUAAUGGGUCAGCGACUUACUGUUCGUGGCAAGCUUAACCGUAUAGGGGAGGCGAAGGGAAACCGAGUCUGAUAAGGGCGCAUAGUCGCGGGCAGUAGACCCGAAACCGGGUGAUCUAGUCAUGCCCAGGGUGAAGGUGCGGUAACACGCACUGGAGGCCCGAACCCACUCCCGUUGCAAAGGUAGGGGAUGAGGUGUGAUUAGGAGUGAAAAGCUAAUCGAACCCGGAGAUAGCUGG